AAAUGGCAAAAGAGUUCAUAGAGCCUCCUCAGGAAGAGGAAUGUGUCCAGUGGUCAUCUCAGCAAGAUGGAAAUGAUACGCGUGAAAAUACCCAGGUUUCACAGCCAGAGGCUAAGGCUCAGGCGAAGCCUAAUGUUAGCACACCUGAAGAGAAAGACAUCGAUAUAGUAUAUGAGGAGACAUUAUCUACUCCCAGUAGCCAAGAGAAUAUUCCUCCUCACUUCCCAUCCUCAUCCCUGCCACUAUCUCCUGUUCUUGUAUCUCCAUCUUCAUUACCUCCACUACCAUCCCCACUAUCCUCACAGUAUUCCUCACACCCCUCUCUCCCAUCCUCCUCAUCUCCCUUGCUGUCUCCUCCAGCCCAUCCACAUCAGAGGAGUACUAACAUCUCGGUUGAGGAAUUUAAUGAGCGUGCAAUGCAAGACAGUGAAAACAAUAAUGUGGAUGAAAACAGUAAUGAUCAGCAAUAUGACCUGUAUGCAGAUUACCACCAAGAAUUCAGCCAUCACCAGUUUGUGCCAGAUCAGUCUGUCAGACCCCGUGAUAGAAGACCACAGAGUGAAAGGGAUCAACCUGAUUGUACCAAUAUGAACAAUGAAGACAGUUAUAGACGGAGAAGAAGUCGCUUUUCUCAUCGAAGGAACUUGUCAGAAGACCAGACUUAUUCUGGUGCUUCUUAUGCAUUUGAAGAUAAUCAUAGUUAUUUGCCGCCAUUACCAAAUCUCACCACCCGUCCAGGUGCUAUUGAUAGAAAAGGGUUCCAAGAGAAUCUUCAGCAUUGCCAAACAAGAAUUUCUACUCAGUCACAUUCUCAAAAGCUUCCUCUUAAUUUGAGAGGGGGUGGGUAUGAUCCUCUACCACCACUGCCAGCACCCUCAGAAGAUAUUACUCAAGGAGCACAAGAGCUCUUAAUGAAUUUUACCUAUGAUACAUUACAGAGUAACCAUUUGGAAGUGCCUGAAUCUUUCAUCAUGCACCGAGGUUUCAGUAACCCUACUUGGUCAAGAGCUGGCCAAGAGCUGCAGAAAUUGGCAGAUGCCUUUGCUAAAACCGAAGAGCGCAGAAGAGUACAAGUGAUGGCUAAAUCCGUAAACUUGAGAUCCAUGAAUAUGGAAAACUUUUUUGAACUCUGUGCUGAACUCUUUUCAGAUGGCAUAACUCGAGAGCGAAUUGUAGCAUUGUUUACCUUUGUGGGUGAUGUUGCUGUUCAUCAGGUGCGACUACGGGGUGAGGAGUUUCUGCAGUUGUUAAUGAAAUGGUCACUGAAGUACUUAGUAGACAAUAUUUGCAGAUGGGUGCAAGCAGCUGGGGGUUGGGUGGUUGUGCUGUGCUGUGGAGCAAACAUGUUAUACAAGGGUACUAUACUUGCAUUCUGUAUAGUUGGAACAUUAGCUGCUGGUUUGUUCAUAUACAAAACCUUGAAAGAUUGGUAACAUUAGUGAAAAAGUUGACCCACUGCAGCCAGACACGUAGGCACCAUACAAGGAACAAGUAUCUGUUUGACAUACCACAUGUUCGACUUGACCUGUUUAGUGGCUCCAUACAAAUUAAAGGCAAUAAAAUAUGGAACUCGCUACCUGAAGAUACAAAAAGUUCCAUAUCUGCCAACUACUUUAAAACUCUUGUUAAAAAAAAACACUCAUUAACUUCAUGUGAUUGUGCAUUAGUUGAUUGUUAUUAUUUAUUAAUGUCUAAAUGCCUACUGUAAUUUGUUUACCAGAUCUACUUAACAUUCAUUCUUGUAUAUUGCUGUCACUACUGUUUUUUUUUAUCUAAUUACACUGGCCAACAAAGGUUUCAGUUUAUGUUUAAAAAUGUGUUUCAGACUAAUUCAAAUCUGAAUUUAGUUUUCUUCUAACACAUACAGUUUCUGUGAAAUAAAAUCCCAUAAUGAACAAUUUCAUUAAGGCAUAGCUAUCAUGGAGAAGGGAUAAGAGAUAUCAGGGAAACCUGAUGAUCAGUUUGAUGGGUGACUACUGCUGGGCACUGGUGCAGGAAAGCAAUUCAGAACACAGGCGAGAAAGCCUGAGAACUGUGAUGUAAAUGUUCAUAUGACUGUAUGGAAAUUUCUUUUAUUUUUAUUAUGCAUAUACUGUACUGUAUAUAUAAUGAAUUUAUGUUAAGAUUAGUUUGUCACUGCAUGUAGCACAAUAUCUAUGCAUAAUAUAAUACCAGUGAUUGUUAGGGAACAUAUAUCAUGUGGUUCUUCAACAUUAAUUGUCAAAAUAUUUAUCAUAAGAUUUAAAAAAAAAAUGCUUAUGUGAUAAAGGCUAAACUAGCUCAAAUUUGUCAUCAGCUCAUCUAAGUUAGCCUAAAAGAAACAGUUUGGUUUCUGAGCUAGUUAAAAAGUUAAUUAACUGGUUAAAAAGUAUUAAUGUAACCACUGUAACCAAAAUGUAUCAGUCCAGUCUACAUUAUUUCUACAUACAGUAGUCCCCCUGUAUCCACAGGGCAUAUGUUCCAAGACCUGCCAUGGAUACCCGAAACUGCGGAUAGUAGCAAACCCUGUAUAUACAUAUGUUUAAUUGAUAAAUUAUUUAUCAAUUAAACUUUAACAUACAUAUGUUAAAGUUUAAUUGAUAAAUUAUUCACAAUAAGUUGAGAAUUAGCACUUUUUCACUGAUAGGAAGCAGUUCACAGCUUCUUUUAUGCUUUGAAGAACUGUCAUCACCACUACUUUUGUGCUUUGGUGCCAUCAUUAAGUAAAAUUAAGGCUUAUUUUUGAGCCACGGUAAACCGUGGAUAACUGAAACAGCAGAAACUGAAUCCAUGGAUACUGGAUGGGGGGGGGGGUCUGCUGUAUGUUGUAUCAAACUUAGAAUUCAAAUAAUCUAAACCUUACCUAUGCAUCGUAUAGCUUUUUAAUUUUAAGUCCUGUUGGUGAGAUAUACUUAGGAUGCUGAAGUGCUUUGCAUAUUCAGUGGCUUUCCAGUUAGCUUGCACUCAUUUCCACUCUUUAUUUGUAACUAUAAUGUGUUUUUAUGGAAAUAAUAUUUUUCAUUUAGCUGUUGCAAAAUUUUGAUUUUUUUCUCUUGUUUGUAGUUUGAGAUGGCCUGUUUUUCUAAAUAAAACUGUGAAGAGAAAACUUAAAUUAAAUAAAACUUACAGUUUAUAUGGUGUAUUGAAGUUUGUGAAAAAUUAUCACUCAUCAGCAACAGCUUCAUAAAUCUCUUCAAGGAGGGUGCUUUGAUGCCUAUGAAAGCCUCUUGGAAUUACACUUCGUGCACUUGGAUCAAACAUGCUGCCUUCCACUCCCCAGGUGAUGUAUGACCCCCUACAAGUUUAGCAUUUCCCAAUGAUAAUUUAUAUCCAUAGUACAGAACUGAACAAUAUUAUUUCUUUGUGCUAGUCCUGCACUGCAGUAUCAAUGUUGUACUGAAAACAACCUACAUAUAUUUACAUAUGGUAAACUCCACAUAAUUUAUUUAUACAGUAACAUAAUACACUGAGAACAUUUUCAUAAUGAGAAUGAUGCUACCACAUACAGUACAAGAGAAUAAAUACUAGAGCAGUAUUAACAAAUUCUUAUUCUAUUUAAUGUGGGACAAUUUGAACAUUUGUAAACGUUACAUGUACAGUGACAUACUGCACGUAUUUGAUUUCAAGGUUUUACGGCAGGAUGUUGGGUGGUCCUUGUUCUUUUACUUAGCAUAUAAUUUUUUUUUUUUUAAAGGAAAGGAAGCAGCACUUUAAACCUGAGGGCCAUGUGAUACUGAAGAGUACCAUCGUAGCAUUCAUAUGCAUUCGCACAAAAAAAAAAAAAAAUGUACAUUAUCUGCGAAUAGUAAAUUAUUUAAAUUAUAAGAAACACUAAUGUCCUGUUUACCAAAAUAUCAGUCUUAUGCACAGUUCUUAUGCUCACACAUCUUCAUGUACUCAACAUUAGGCAAUAUUUUCUUCCCUUAAAAUAAUUUUGUUUCAUAUUUUAUAGUUUAGUACAGUAUUUUACUAUCAUAACUGGGAACAUGAAUCCUUGUGAUAGGCACACUGUAUUAUUAUAUAACAUAACUAAGUGCUAAACCCACAAGGGUUGAGGCACAUUGUAAUUAAAGAAGAAAAUUAAUUGAAUUUGCAAUACUGCUUAGCCCUGUAUCUGUAAAACCUUAAACACCUUUUCCAAGUGUUUAUCUUUCUUUCAGAUUAUCACUAUUAUUAUUAUUAUUUAUUAUUAUUAUAGUUAUCCAGUCUUUCAUUACCUAAAUUUGUUGUUACUUUCAUCACCUUGCUCUUAUAAGUUCGCUUUAAAUUUCCUUCUUUUACAUGCGUAUGAUUGUAUUUAAUUACACAAGACCUACACAAUGCUAUGUCUAGUUCUUAAGUAGUUUGUAAGCCUUACGAUUCGUUGCCUGAAAUGCAUUGGAUAAUGCUUUCUUUGUGUCUACUAUUGUACUUGUGUAUCUACAUUAUAUGUAUGCUCACAUAAAUAAAGCAUUAUCAUUAUCAUCAUUAACCUCCCAAAUUUGUCAACCAACCUUUGCAACUUAUCUUCAGAAAUAAAGCAACUGUGACAACUCCCAUUCUGUACUGUAUUAGAUUCUUUAUCUUUUAAUCCCACACCUCUCCUUAACACCCUAGCAUUCACUUUUACAAUCACCUCUAUUAAUAAGUGAAACAACCAUAGUGACAUCGCAUCCCUGUCUAAGCCUGGUUUUAUCAUGAGACACAAUUCUCUUUUUCUAUAAUUUUAAGUUACCUAACUUUAUCAAAUGCAAAGACUGACUCAAAAUGCUACAAAUAUGUGAUAAUAUGUUAUUUGAUCAAUUAUCUGUAUUUUCUUGCAAACUAAAUCAGAGUGAAUCGAGCAUGCUUAGUUUUCUUCUGAACUAAUAUGUAUUCUCACAUUCAUUCAUAAUGGUGGAGAGCUUCAUAAUUAUUCCCUGCUCACAAUGAGCUAAUUUACCCAGUGAAACCUAAGUCUACACUCAUAACACUUAAACAGAAUUUGCAGAUAUUUUCCUAGAGAUAUGUAACAGUCUUCCUUUCAAUAGCUUAGCCAUGAAAUCUCUCUUGUCCAGCUCCAUCUUCUACUCUUAGCCACACUUCUGCAUACACUCUUCAUACAACUUUACUCUAACAUGCUAAACAUUUUACAGAACCAAACUACCUCGACAAACUGAUUUUUUCAUAUUUAAAUUUGUUUACUUUUAAAUUUAAUUACCUACAUACAUUCCUUUUCUCUACUGUUCUCACAUAUAAGUAGUACAGUAUAUUCCUGUAAAUAACAAAAGAGAAAUAUUUAUUUUUCAAAAUUACAUAGUGUAUACAUAUUUCAAGCAAAUAUGAUUUUCAUUUACUUUAGGUCUGUUUUUAAUUAAGAAUUUAGAAAAUUAGUGAUUUUGCAGCACCUGCAA